AUUGAACGCUGGCGGCAUGCUUUACACAUGCAAGUCGAACGGUAACAGGCCUUCGGGUGCUGACGAGUGGCGAACGGGUGAGUAAUGCAUCGGAACGUACCCAGAGGUGGGGGAUAACGCAGCGAAAGCUGUGCUAAUACCGCAUGUGAUCUGAGGAUGAAAGCGGGGGACCGAGCAGCAAUGUUUGGCCUCGCGCCUUUGGAGCGGCCGAUGUCGGAUUAGCUAGUUGGUGGGGUAAAGGCCUACCAAGGCGACGAUCCGUAGCUGGUCUGAGAGGACGACCAGCCACACUGGGACUGAGACACGGCCCAGACUCCUACGGGAGGCAGCAGUGGGGAAUUUUGGACAAUGGGAGCAAGCCUGAUCCAGCAAUGCCGCGUGCGGGAAGAAGGCCUUCGGGUUGUAAACCGCUUUUGGCAGGAACGAAACGGUGUCCGCUAAUACCGGGCGCUAAUGACGGUACCUGCAGAAUAAGCACCGGCUAACUACGUG
rnacentral:rRNA from 1 species